rnacentral:tRNA from 1 species
AAGGGAGACCUAAUUCAGGUAGGAGACGAAAAAAAAGUAGUCGCUACCAAGAAUCAAUCCCAAAAGGUCGGAGCGAGGCGAAAUUGGCUUUCAAACUAGGUUCUGGGUUCACACAAGACCUGAAUCAGGAACAAGGGCUAUUAGCUCAGGUGGUUAGAGCGCACCCCUGAUAAGGGUGAGGUCCCUGGUUCGAGUCCAGGAUGGCCCACCCGCACAGGUGGCAAAAACAAAGAAGCGAGGAAUCAGCACCUUAUCUUAUCUAUAUAUAAGAGAGAAUGCUGGCUCUGAGUAAAGAGUCCAGAGGAACCUUGAAAACUGCAUAGAGCUAGGUGAAAAAGCCAAAAAAGAAGACCGCAA